GGGCUCCUCGCUGGGAGCUCCCGGAGCCCAGGGCGGGCAGCAGCUGCACAGCCACCCCUACCCAGAGCCCAGCAGCCUCUCUGCACAGAUAUUUGACUUUUAGCUCUGGAGGAGGGGGGAGCCUGCCCAAAUCCCCUCUCCAGGGCUGCGUGGGGGUCUCGUGUGCGUGCUCGGGGCACAGCCAGGGCGGCUCGGCAGCGCGUGUGUCCCACGGGCACAUCCAGCAGGAGAACACGCCGGGAUCUCACAGCUCCAGGAGCAGCAUAUGCUCUGGGAGACCUCGCUACGUUGCAUAAGCCUCCCAUCCCAGGAGCUGGCUGAGCACAGCACAUGAGUCAACAGCACAGCGAGACUUGUGCCGUGGGAGUCACACCUACUCUUGGCUGCAGAAUUAUCCAGAGAAGCAGAAGGUUAAUAGGAACAAAAUAAAGCCUAAGGAAGCCUUAAAGCUGAAUUUGCAGCAGGAGUAAUGCCCAAGCCACAUCUGGCUCGUGAUGCACAUGGGAUCAGACCGGGACUUUGGGAGGAGGAGGAUCUGGAUUCAGAGAUCUGAAAGCCGAGGCAGAGACAUCUGAUGGGGCUCCAGCGCUGACUCACUGUUUGAUGUGAGGCAGGAGGAGGGAUGUGAUCAGAUCCCAUUGUGCAGAGCAUCCACCAGACAACGCCAGCAGCGGGAGGAGAAGUG